AUCCAGCCGACGAGUUCCAAAUAAAACAAAACACGCGUCAAACUGGAU
rnacentral:hammerhead_ribozyme from 1 species